GGUUAAGCGACUAAGCGUACACGGUGGAUGCCCUGGCAGUCAGAGGCGAUGAAGGGCGUGCUAAUCUGCGAUAAGCGCCGGUAAGGUGAUAUGAACCGUUAUAACCGGCGAUACCCGAAUGGGGAAACCCAGUGUGACUCGUCACACUAUCAUUAACUGAAUCCAUAGGUUAAUGAGGCGAACCGGGGGAACUGAAACAUCUAAGUACCCCGAGGAAAAGAAAUCAACCGAGAUUCCCCCAGUAGCGGCGAGCGAACGGGGAGGAGCCCAGAGCCUGAAUCAGCAUGUGUGUUAGUGGAAGCGUCUGGAAAGGCGCGCGAUACAGGGUGACAGCCCCGUACACAAAAGCGCAUGUGCUGUGAGCUCGAUGAGUAGGGCGGGACACGUGGUAUCCUGUCUGAAUAUGGGGGGACCAUCCUCCAAGGCUAAAUACUCCUGACUGACCGAUAGUGAACCAGUACCGUGAGGGAAAGGCGAAAAGAACCCCGGCGAGGGGAGUGAAAAAGAACCUGAAACCGUGUACGUACAAGCAGUGGGAGCCCCACCACCAAAGCAUUCUCUGGUGUUGAAGGCCCUGCAAAGCAGCAUCGCGGUGGCGGAGCGUCGUUUGCGACGCCCAACACACAAAACAAGCGGUGAAUGCUUUGGGGUGGGGUGACUGCGUACCUUUUGUAUAAUGGGUCAGCGACUUAUAUUCUGUAGCAAGGUUAACCGAAUAGGGGAGCCGGAGGGAAACCGAGUCUUAAUUGGGCGUUAAGUUGCAGGGUAUAGACCCGAAACCCGGUGAUCUAGCCAUGGGCAGGUUGAAGGUUGGGUAACACUAACUGGAGGACCGAACCGACUAAUGUUGAAAAAUUAGCGGAUGACCUGUGGCUGGGGGUGAAAGGCCAAUCAAACCGGGAGAUAGCUGGUUCUCCCCGAAAGCUAUUUAGGUAGCGCCUCGUGAAUUCAUCUCCGGGGGUAGAGCACUGUUUCGGCUAGGGGGCCAUCCCGGCUUACCAACCCGAUGCAAACUGCGAAUACCGGAGAAUGUUAUCACGGGAGACACACGGCGGGUGCUAACGUCCGUCGUGAAGAGGGAAACAACCCAGACCGCCAGCUAAGGUCCCAAAGUCAUGGUUAAGUGGGAAACGAUGUGGGAAGGCCCAGACAGCCAGGAUGUUGGCUUAGAAGCAGCCAUCAUUUAAAGAAAGCGUAAUAGCUCACUGGUCGAGUCGGCCUGCGCGGAAGAUGUAACGGGGCUAAACCAUGCACCGAAGCUGCGGCAGCGAACGUAUCACCCAAGACAACUUUACGGAGUUGACGAUUGACGGAGCGAAGCGACGUCAAAGCGUUCAUUAAAGUCGAGUUGGCUUAGGGAUACGUUCGUUGGGUAGGGGAGCGUUCUGUAAGCCUGUGAAGGUGUGUCGUGAGGCAUGCUGGAGGUAUCAGAAGUGCGAAUGCUGACAUAAGUAACGAUAAAGCGGGUGAAAAGCCCGCUCGCCGGAAGACCAAGGGUUCCUGUCCAACGUUAAUCGGGGCAGGGUGAGUCGACCCCUAAGGCGAGGCCGAAAGGCGUAGUCGAUGGGAAACGGGUUAAUAUUCCCGUACUUGGUGUUACUGCGAAGGGGGGACGGAGAAGGCUAUGUUGGCCGGGCGACGGUUGUCCCGGUUUAAGCGUGUAGGUGUGUGUUCCAGGUAAAUCCGGUUCACUUUAACACUGAGGCGUGAUGACGAGGCACUACGGUGCUGAAGCAACAAAUGCCCUGCUUCCAGGAAAAGCCUCUAAGCAUCAGGUAACACGAAAUCGUACCCCAAACCGACACAGGUGGUCAGGUAGAGAAUACCAAGGCGCUUGAGAGAACUCGGGUGAAGGAACUAGGCAAAAUGGUGCCGUAACUUCGGGAGAAGGCACGCUGACACGUAGGUGAAGUGAUUUACUCACGGAGCUGAAGUCAGUCGAAGAUACCAGCUGGCUGCAACUGUUUAUUAAAAACACAGCACUGUGCAAACACGAAAGUGGACGUAUACGGUGUGACGCCUGCCCGGUGCCGGAAGGUUAAUUGAUGGGGUCAGCGCAAGCGAAGCUCCUGAUCGAAGCCCCGGUAAACGGCGGCCGUAACUAUAACGGUCCUAAGGUAGCGAAAUUCCUUGUCGGGUAAGUUCCGACCUGCACGAAUGGCGUAAUGAUGGCCAGGCUGUCUCCACCCGAGACUCAGUGAAAUUGAACUCGCUGUGAAGAUGCAGUGUACCCGCGGCAAGACGGAAAGACCCCGUGAACCUUUACUAUAGCUUGACACUGAACAUUGAGCCUUGAUGUGUAGGAUAGGUGGGAGGCUUUGAAGUGUGGACGCCAGUCUGCAUGGAGCCGACCUUGAAAUACCACCCUUUAAUGUUUGAUGUUCUAACGUGGACCCGUAAUCCGGGUUGCGGACAGUGUCUGGUGGGUAGUUUGACUGGGGCGGUCUCCUCCUAAAGAGUAACGGAGGAGCACGAAGGUUGGCUAAUCCUGGUCGGACAUCAGGAGGUUAGUGCAAUGGCAUAAGCCAGCUUGACUGCGAGCGUGACGGCGCGAGCAGGUGCGAAAGCAGGUCAUAGUGAUCCGGUGGUUCUGAAUGGAAGGGCCAUCGCUCAACGGAUAAAAGGUACUCCGGGGAUAACAGGCUGAUACCGCCCAAGAGUUCAUAUCGACGGCGGUGUUUGGCACCUCGAUGUCGGCUCAUCACAUCCUGGGGCUGAAGUAGGUCCCAAGGGUAUGGCUGUUCGCCAUUUAAAGUGGUACGCGAGCUGGGUUUAGAACGUCGUGAGACAGUUCGGUCCCUAUCUGCCGUGGGCGCUGGAGAACUGAGGGGGGCUGCUCCUAGUACGAGAGGACCGGAGUGGACGCAUCACUGGUGUUCGGGUUGUCAUGCCAAUGGCACUGCCCGGUAGCUAAAUGCGGAAGAGAUAAGUGCUGAAAGCAUCUAAGCACGAAACUUGCCCCGAGAUGAGUUCUCCCUGAGACUUUAGGUCUCCUGAAGGAACGUUGAAGACGACGACGUUGAUAGGCCGGGUGUGUAAGCGCAGCGAUGCGUUGAGCUAACCGGUACUAAUGAACCGUGAGGCUUAACCUU
rnacentral:rRNA from 1 species